rnacentral:antisense_RNA from 1 species
AAGGGUGGGACUGAGAGAGCUGCACCCUGCGGACCCCACCCGGCCUCUCCCCGGGGGUGUGGCCGCCGUCUGUUCGGUCACAGCCAGGCUGCGGCCUAAGUUGAGGUACAGGGGUCCUUUGCUGGCCCCAGAUGUGGACAGUAUCCUCUCGAAUGCCCACCACUGGGAACCCUUAAGUCCCUCAAGAUCUUUCCUCAGCCUCAGCCAGUCCUAUCUCAGCAGUAGUGGCCGGUGUUAAGUAUGUUGCCUAGAAAAUUACAGACUAUUCCAGACCAGGAAGGAAAGUUGACUUCAUCUUCAGAUACUCAGGCUCCAGCCUGGAGACAUCUCAUCUCUCCUCUGUCACUCCUUCCCCAUUAUUAAAGUUUGUGGAUGUUCCUUAG